rnacentral:rRNA from 1 species
GAAUUCGCCCUUAGAGUUUGAUCCUGGCUCAGGACGAACGCUGGCGGCGUGCCUAACACAUGCAAGUCGAACGUUCUUGCCGCGAGGCAAGGGCGUGGCGGACGGGUGAGGAACACGUGAGCAACCUGCCCUGCAGUGGGGGAUACCGGGGCGAAAGCCUCGACAAUCCCGCAUGCGCUGCGCCGGCUCAGGCUGGCGCAGGAAAGCCGCUCGCCGGAGGGCGGGCAGCGCUGCAGGAGGGGCUUGCGGCCGAUUAGCUGGUUGGCGGGGUAACGGCCCACCAAGGCGACGAUCGGUAGCUGGUCUGAGAGGACGAUCAGCCACACUGGGAUUGAGAGACGGCCCAGACUCCUACGGGGGGCAGCAGUGAGGAAUCUUCGGCAAUGGGCGCAAGCCUGACCGAGCGACGCCGCGUGCAGGAAGACGGCCUUCGGGUUGUAAACUGCUUUUCUGAGGGACGAGCAAGGACGGUACCUCAGGAAGAAGCCCCGGCAAACUACGUGCCAGCAGCCGCGGUAAGACGUAGGGGGCGAGCGUUGUCCGGAGUUACUGGGCGUAAAGGGCCUGUAGGCGGUCGGGGAGGUUGCGACCCCCAGCCGGCGGCUUCACCGCCGGAGCGGUCGGAAAACGGCCCGACUUGAGGACCACAGAGGGACCUGGAAUUCCCGGUGGAGCGGUGAAAUGCGUAGAGAUCGGGAAGAACACCGAAGGCGAAGGCAGGGUCCUGGGUGGCCCCUGACGCUGAGAGGCGAAAGCUAGGGGAGCGAACGGGAUUAGAUACCCCGGUAGUCCUAGCCGUAAACGCUGACCACUAGGUGUGUGGGGAGAUCGACCCCCUGCGCGCCGAAGCGAACGCAGUAAGUGGUCCGCCUGGGGACUACGGCCGCAAGGCUAAAACUCAAAGGAAUUGACGGAAGGGCGAAUUC